GGAGAAUAAUAAGGGGGUAUUAGCACCUUUGUGGGAGUGCAUUUAUUUCCAUCUCCCACCACCGUGAUUCAUGUCCUGGGAGCGUUUUGUAUUAGUCGCGGAUUUGCAAAGGGCCUGUAAUUCUGCUGCAUCAACAGCAGAAAUUAAUGAAUGUGGAUUCAGAUCUGCCUUUGUGGAGGGGCAGCUUAUCCCCGUUCAUUUCUCCCCUGAUUCAUAUUUUAGGGUUGGAGAUUUUUUUUUUACCUCGGUUGUUCUCCAUUUUCGGGCAAAUGUGUGAGGUAAUGACACGCUAUGCCUGCGCAAAUUAAUACGGGACGUUUAUACGGGAGGAUCGCAUGUCUUACAACACAAAGUCUUAGCAAUAUUGCCCUCACUUUAAAGUAUGAGAGUACCGGAGCCAAUUUGUCUUUUGAGCUUUGAAGAACCUGUUUGCUUGUUGAUGAGAGGGAGAAUUCAUUGUUGUCGCAUGGAUGGGCAGCGCAGUCUGGCGCGGGAGACCAUUUUGCCAAUUAACACGUUUGCUUCCUGAUUGCCAGCCAACUACUCAGCCCUCAGUCGCGCCUUGUAGGUCAUACCUGGCUGCACCCAAAUGAGUUCCUACCUCUGGCUGAACUCACCAAAGGUUGAUUGGAAGAUAGCGCUGAUUGGUAAAAGGAAACAAGUUGUGCAUUUUUUCUUUUGGAAACGAGCACAACACGCAUCAUUGUGUGUAGUGCGACAGUGUUUUCGUCCAACCCUGAACAUACACAGUUUAGUUGACUUAAGGACCCCGGAUAACCUGGGGAGCUGGAAAACUAUUCUCUGGGACACGCCCCUCGCGAUAGGACAGUAACGGGGCCGACGCCCAUAUCUCCAGUGCUUACCUGGGACUCACAAGGAGAAAGACAGCAGCUACACCAUCAGCCAACCGAUGAUGAGGGGCAAGGGGCGUUCCAGCUGGAGAGACUGACAAAGGCAUUAUAUACUGGACAGGUUUAGCCCAGACGCUGGCCCUCUCCACUGGAUUUCCAUACAAUUAAAUUCUUCUCGGAGCUCGAAAACAAACUUAAAGCUAUCCCUAUGGUUUGUCGUAUCAGACCAUUUCGAUCGUGACUGAAGCAGCGUGCAGAGAGACAGAACAGCGAGGACAUGAGAUGGAACAUCUGGGCCUUUUCAUCAUUGUUUUCUGGAAUUUAUUUUUUCGACCUCGCGACUCAGGAAAUCUCAGGAAAUUAAAACGAGCCAAUUAUAUUCA
ensembl:lncRNA